rnacentral:tRNA from 1 species
GGUGGGCGUAGCUCAGUUGGUAGAGCAAAGGAUUGUGCCUCCUGGUGUCGUGGGUUCGAUUCCCCUCGUGCACCG